ACUCAAAUGAAUUGACGGGGGCCCGCACAAGCAGUGGAGUAUGUGGUUUAAUUCGAAGCAACGCGAAGAACCUUACCAGGUCUUGACAUCCCAAGAACCGCCUUGAAAGAGGCGGGUGCCUUCGGGAGCUUGGAGACAGGUGGUGCAUGGUUGUCGUCAGCUCGUGUCGUGAGAUGUUGGGUUAAGUCCCGCAACGAGCGCAACCCCUACUAUUAGUUGCUACGCAAGAGCACUCUAAUGGGACUGCCGUUGACAAAACGGAGGAAGGUGGGGAUGACGUCAAAUCAUCAUGCCCUUUAUGACCUGGGCUACACACGUACUACAAUGGCAAUAAACAACGGGAAGCGAAGCGGCGACGCGGAGCGAAACCCCAAAAGUUGCCUCAGUUCGGAUUGCAGGCUGCAACUCGCCUGCAUGAAGUCGGAAUUGCUAGUAAUCGCGGAUCAUCAUGCCGCGGUGAAUACGUUCCCGGGCCUUGUACACACCGCCCGU
rnacentral:rRNA from 1 species